UAUACAGUGCUAAUUGGUGUAUGAGUGUUUUUUCCUCCCAGAAGGACCUGCCGCUUAUCCCCAGAUCACCAAUAUGGGAACAUGUAACAGUUUACUGGGUACACAGCAGAUGUAUCCACUUGUCAAUUUGUCGAACUGGUUGCACCAAAGCUCAGUAAACGGGCAGCUACGAGUCUCUGAAACCGAAAGUGCGCGUCGAUGGUUUCGCGCAUCAACUGAACCCGGAACAACAGUUGGGCCGCCUUCUUGCCUUCUCGCGCGUCCGGAAAACAUUUCGACAUGACAGUCUGGAGUUUAGAUGUUUUACCAUAAUUUCUGUUGUCGUGCAGACAUUUUUGCAUGUUAUUGUUCGUGCGUGCGUCAGAUCAGCCUGCUGGGAGACGUCCUGUGGUCGCGAGGGUGUAGCCGACGUGUUUUUGCCUCGGGGCCUGUAGAAACAGGAGUCGGUCAAACUCCAAGAAACUCAAUUCUGAGGGUCUGAGAAUCUUCUAGAAAACCAGCAUGAGCGUGGACGGGGACAUCGAUCCUGAGGUGGAAGCGAUCAUGCUGGACGCUGAGGGACGAGGUUCCCCGGAUGUGGACUACGAGGGCGGGUCGAUGGGCGCCAGCCUGGGCUCCAGCAGGGUGAACUCGUCCCUGAGUGGCAACGGCUCCAGUGGCCGUGGAGACCGCCCCCCGUCCAGCUACGGCUCCAUGAAGAGCGACGACGGCCCCGAAGAGGACGACGACCCUAACGAGUUCAAACCUCCACCCAGUGUUGUGGUCACCGUUAGCUCCCGACGGGCUAUUAUCCGGGCGGAUUCUCCAGAGACGACUUUUACUGAAGCCACCAACACUUUCACCUGUAAAAGCAUCAUCCCGAAAGAGGGUGUCCACCUCAACAAACCCAGUGGGGACAGGGCAGGUGAGAUGAUUGACGAAGAGGAGGAGGAGGAGAAGAAGGAGGGAGCGCAGGAGCCUGAUGAUGAAGAGGAGGACAUGGAAGAGCAGCCCCCCCCCUCACCCCCCCCUGCUCCCCCGGAACCCCCCGCUGAGGGACUCGGACUGCAGUUCGGACCCACACACGAGGAGCUCAGCCUGCCCUUCAUAUUCAAGUCCCUACAGAACGUGCUGGCUAAACUCUCUCUGAUGGAGCUGAUGUGGUUCAAGCGCUCGGUGGCGCAGCGUAACCGGGGGAAGGUCAACCAGGAGCAGCUGAUGGACUGUGACGUGCUGGACGUCGUCGAUUACCUCAUCGAGCACUUCGGCCAGGGGGGCGGGCUCAAACUGGCCAUCACCACGCUGCACCUCAUCGACCGCCGUCCGCCCGCCGAGGAGCUGGAGCUUAGAUGCAGGAGAGUCCUGAUUCGCCACGAGCUGCAGGAGCAUCACAAGCGGCACUAUGAGGUUGUGUUUGAGGGCGUGGCCAGACCGGGCGAACAGGCGGGCCUCAACCGCGUCUUCACCGAACCGGAGGUGGUCGAGGGCGGACAUCGCGGCGUCAACACCGAGCACGAGGUGCUUCGUGACGUCGAGCCCAAAUACGGUGAGCCUCGGCGCGCCAUCCGCCUUAACGACGUGCUGCGUUCGUUCCCGAGCGACGGCAAGCGCGUGCGCGUGGCAGUGCUGAGCGGCGUUCCGAUCGCCGGCCUGAGCUACGCCGCCCACAAGCUGGCGCUGGACUGGAGCCACGAGGCCGCCAAUCAGGACGUGCACUUCCUGUUCUACCUGAACUGCCAGGACCUGCGGCACUACGCCGCGGAGACGCUGACCCUCCUGAAGCUGCUCCGCAUGUUCCACCACGCGCUGGACGGCAUUCUGCCGCUGCUCCGGAGCCCAGAGACGCCGUGCGCGCUCGUGCUGGAGGGCUGGGAGGAGCGCCGCCCCCUACUGGACAUGAGCGCGCCGCCCGUCACCGACGCCACGCAAGAAGCUCCGCUCUCGGCCCUGAUGGCCUCUCUGCUGCGCGGCGACCUGAUGCCGCACAUGCGGCUGGUCAUCACCUGCCGCCGUAGCGACCUCUACCUGCUGCCCCAGGCGCACAUCGACCGCGUGCUGGAGGUGCGCGGCUACCUGCCCGCUCACCGCGACGAGUUCUUCCUGAAGCACAACGACCGAGACCUCUCGGUGGGCCAGCAGGUCCUGCCGCAGGUCAAGCGCUCGCCCACGCUCUACGCCCUGUCGCACCUGCCACUCUUCGCCUGGAUCGUGGUGUGGGUGUUCGAGCGGAACGUGCGGCGCAAGCCCAGCUUCUAUACGCGGCCACCCCACGAGACGCCCUUCAUGGUGGACAUCGUGCUGGUGAUGGUCAACCGCUGGCAGGAGCGUUACCGCGGCAGCUCGUCCGACCACACGCGCUGGAAGGACGAGGAGAAGAACCUGCUGAAGAGCCUUGGACGCUUCGCCCUGCGCAUGAUCGAGGCCCGCCGCGUGCGUUUCCACGGCAACGACUUCAAGGAGUUCGACCUGGAGCCACGGAAGCUGCUGAACGUGGGCCUGAUCACCGAGGAGAUGGCGGAGUGGACGCCGGGUGGGGCAGGUGGGGCCAGCGGAACCCCUCGGCCCACCUACGUCUUCCUCCACCUGGCGCUGCAGGAGUUUAUGGCGGCGUUCUACGUCUACCUGGCGUUCCGCGCGGAUGGACGGAACGUGUUCGAGCAGCAGCUGAAGAGCUCGGUGGUGUCCAAGCUGGUGAAGGACCGGCCCAUCCUGGACCUGUUGCGCCCGGCGACCGACCGCGCGCUGGCCAGCCCCGACGGGCACCUGGACCUCAUGUUGCGCUUCCUGUGCGGCAUGGCCAUGGACUCCACCGAGGACCACCUGCGCGGGACCAUGCUGCCGCACCGCAACCCCCCCCAACGCGGCAUGGACGAGGCCGAGCGCUUCCUCCGCAAGAGGAUGGAGACUGCCCACCCCGACCGCCGACGCAACCUGGAGCUCUGCCUGAACGAGAUGAAGGAGCUGGAAGAGGACAAGCAGGAGUCCAGGCACAUGGGCUUCUGACCGCCGCGGGCAGUGCCCACCCCAGGAUUCUAAACGCCCGACCGACAGACCCACCCCGGGAUUCUAAACGCAGAACUGGACUUUAAACACAGAGUGGUUUUACUGACUAGAGUCCGGCCAGAUAGUGUGUCACGUUGAUCAGGAGGGCGUGCGUGUGUGUGUGUGUGUGUGUGUGUGUGUGUGUGUGUGUGUGUGUGUGUGUGUGUGUGUGUGUGUGUGAGUAGCCAAAGGUCUAGUGAAGGACUUGCUGUUGUGUGACAUCUAGAGGCCACACACACACACUAUUGGUCAAGCCUUUUCUCUUCUUGCGAAGAGGUUUCCUAUAUAAACAGAGUCGGACCACUGAAAAAGUCCCUGCGUUUCCAUUGGACAGUUUCGGGGGGCCAAGUAAGCCCCCCGAUAUCUUCUUCCACGUGGCACAUCACCUGUAUGCAUCCCGGCUGUCACACCUGGUCCAGGUGUUGCUCUCGUCCUCCCUGAGUCCAGCAGGUCCUCUCUGCCCUUCCCUGCUUCUCCACGCUGGGCUUUGAACCGGUGACCUUGGCAGCUUGGAGCAAGGUCACUACCACUGUGCCACCAGCGCUCCACUAGCAUGCGGCCAUAUAUAGAUGAGGACGCCAGGGUGAGCCGCACCAUAAUACUGACCAUGGCACCGUCCUCUCCACCUGCCCGCUGUGCUGAGCCUCCAGCCCAAGACUCUGGAGGUGAAGGACAAGGACGCUUCCACUGCACCACCCUCAGACUGCUCCAGCACACUGGUCUUCAAACUGUUUUCUGUGUGCUUUGUUUUAUAUAAUAUUGUAUUAUGUUAUAUUAUAUUACAUUUAUUAUAUAACAUAACAGUGAGGGCCGCAGCAAAUUGGAACGAAAAAUAAAAGCAAUAAAUGAAUAAAAACAUGUAUUAUUAUUAUCAUCAAUUUGUAUAAUUAGUAGUAGUAGUUAUAAAAUAUAAUUAUAUUACAUAUCUGAACAUUAUAUUUUCCAUGAUAAUCCCUCUGAGCACCUUCAUCAUCACGUGUCAGUGUAGCCCUGGUAGAUUCUGACAUCCCUGAGCCCCUGCCCACUCUGCUCUGUGUAUGAGAUGUAGUGUAGUGUAUGAGAUGUAGUGCAGUAAUAUCUAGUGUGCUAGGGGCAGAUCAGUAAUAUCUAGUGUGCUGGGGCUGAUAUCUAGUGUGCUAGGGGCAGAUCAGUAAUAUCUAGUGUGCUAGGUUAUCUCGUCUGCACUCUCCAUAUUUUCAUUUUCAAAGGGCACUUUGGGCCAGGGCAUUCACACACACACACACACACAGGGCAUUCAGCAUCACAGGGCAUUCAGCAUCACAAUAAUAACACGAGCAGUCAUGUCACUGCAGACCCUCACCCCUAUCUCUCUCACACACACACACACACACACACACCCCGAUCUCUCUCACACACACACACCUAUCUCACACACACACCCUAUCUCACACACACCUAUCUCAUCUCACACACACACCUAUCUCAUGUAGGAGGACUGAGAUGUGGGUCUCACACACAGGUCAUGUGAUAUGUCUUAAUUGGGCCCCUCAAUCAUACCCACAGGUCAUGUGAUAUGUCUUACAGGUCAUGUGAUAUGUCUUUCACAGCAAGAUGCCUUAAAUCUGUUGAUGGUGAUGUCAUA